CUGACGCAGCAACGCCGCGUGAGUGAUGACGCUUUUUGGAGUGUAAAGCUCUGUCAGAAGGGAAUAACGGGGUGCUUACUAAUAAUAAGUAUUCUUGACGGUACCUUCAGAGGAAGCCCCGGCUAACUCCGUGCCAGCAGCCGCGGUAAUACGGAGGGGGCUAGCGUUGUUCGGAAUUACUGGGCGUAAAGCGCGCGUAGGCGGUUUGGUAAGUUAGUCGUUUAAUCCCCCGGCUUAACUGAGGUUCUGCGGUUAAUACUGCCAAACUUGAGUACGGGAGAGGAAAGUGGAAUUCCAUGUGUAGCGGUGAAAUGCGCAGAUAUAUGGAGGAACACCCGUGGCGAAGGCGGCUUUCUGGACCGAUACUGACGCUGAGGUGCGAAAGCGUGGGGAGCAAACGGGAUUAGAUACCCCGGUAGUCCACGCCGUAAACGAUGGGUACUUGGUGUAGGGGGCAUCGACCCCCCCUGUGCCGGAGCUAACGCAUUAAGUACCCCGCCUGGGGAGUACGACCGCAAGGUUGAAACUCAAAGGAAUUGACGGGGGCCCGCACAAGCGGUGGAGCAUGUGGUUUAAUUCGACGCAACGCGAAGAACCUUACCUGGGUUUGACAUGUUUGGGACAGCCGGUGAAAAUCGGUUUCUCUUCGGAGCCCUUACACAGGUGCUGCAUGGCUGUCGUCAGCUCGUGUCGUGAGAUGUUGGGUUAAGUCCCGCAACGAGCGCAACCCUUACCCUUAGUUGCCAUCGGGUUCGGCCGGGAACUCUAAGGGAACUGCCGGUGAUAAACCGGAGGAAGGUGGGGAUGACGUCAAGUCCUCAUGGCCUUUAUAUCCAGGGCUACACACGUGCUACAAUGGCUGGUACAAAGGGUCGCGAUACCGCGAGGUGGAGCCAAUCCCAUAAAGCCAGUCUCAGUUCGGAUUGGAGUCUGCAACUCGACUCCAUGAAGGUGGAAUCACUAGUAAUCGUGGAUCAGCAUGCCACGGUGAAUACGUUCCCGGGCCUUGUACACACCGCC
rnacentral:rRNA from 1 species